UACAGAGGUCCCAAGCGUUGUUCGGAUUCAUUGGGCGUAAAGGGUGUGUAGGUGGCGCCGUAAGUCGGGUGUGAAAUCUCGGGGCUUAACUCCGAAACUGCAUUCGAUACUGCGGUGCUUGAGGACUGGAGAGGAGACUGGAAUUCAUGGUGUAGCAGUGAAAUGCGUAGAGAUCAUGAGGAAGACCAGUGGCGAAGGCGGUUCUCUGGGACGGUACUGACGCUGAGACGCGAAAGCGUGGGGAGCGAACAGG
rnacentral:rRNA from 1 species